rnacentral:rRNA from 1 species
AUUGAACGCUGGCGGCAUGUUUUACACAUGCAAGUCGAACGGCAGCGCGGGCUUCGGCCUGGCGGCGAGUGGCGAACGGGUGAGUAAUGCAUCGGAACGUGCCCAGUAGUGGGGGAUAGCCCAGCGAAAGCCGGAUUAAUACCGCAUACGACCUGAGGGUGAAAGCGGGGGACCGAAAGGCCUCGCGCUAUUGGAGCGGCCGAUGUCGGAUUAGCUAGUUGGUGGGGUAAAGGCUUACCAAGGCGACGAUCCGUAGCUGGUCUGAGAGGACGACCAGCCACACUGGGACUGAGACACGGCCCAGACUCCUACGGGAGGCAGCAGUGGGGAAUUUUGGACAAUGGGGGCAACCCUGAUCCAGCCAUGCCGCGUGCGGGAAGAAGGCCUUCGGGUUGUAAACCGCUUUUGUUCGGGAAGAAAUCCUCUGGGCUAAUACCCCGGGGGGAUGACGGUACCGGAAGAAUAAGCACCGGCUAACUACGUG